GAAACCGACACAGGUGGGGUGGUAGAGAAUACCGAGGGGCGCGAGGUAACUCUCUCUAAGGAACUCGGCAAAAUGGCCCCGUAACUUCGGGAGAAGGGGUGCCAGCGAGAGCUGGUCGCAGUGAAGAGGCCCAGGCGACUGUUUACCAAAAACACAGGUCUCCGCUAAGUCGCAAGACGAUGUAUGGGGGCUGACGCCUGCCCAGUGCCGGAAGGUUAAGGAAGCUGGUCAGCGCAAGCGAAGCUGGCGACUGAAGCCCCGGUGAACGGCGGCCGUAACAAUAACGGUCCUAAGGUAGCGAAAUUCCUUGUCGGGUAAGUUCCGACCCGCACGAAAGGCGUAACGAUCUGGGCGCUGUCUCGGAGAGAGGCUCGGCGAAAUAGAAUUGUCUGUGAAGAUGCGGACUACGUGCACCCGGACAGAAAGACCCUAUGAAGCUUUACUGUAGCUUGGUAUUGUGCUCGGGCUCGGAAUGCGCAGGAUAGGUGGGAGGCUUGGAUCCAUUGCUUGCGGGUGAUGGUGAGCCACUGGUGAGAUACCACUCUUUUCGAGCUUAAGUUCUAACCCUUACCCGUUAUCCGGGGAGGGGACAGUAUCAGGUGGGCAGUUUGACUGGGGCGGUCGCCUCCUGAAAGGUAACGGAGGCGCGCAAAGGUUCCCUCAGGCUGGUUGGAAAUCAGCCGACGAGUGCAAAGGCAGAAGGGAGCUUGACUGUGAGACCUACAAGUCGAACAGGGACGAAAGUCGGCCUUAGUGAUCCGACGGUUCUGCGUGGAAGGGCCGUCGCUCAACGGAUAAAAGUUACUCUAGGAUAACAGGCUGAUCUCCCCCAAGAGUUCACAUCGACGGGGAGGUUUGGCACCUCGAUGUCGGCUCAUCGCAACCUGGGGCUGAAGUCGGUCCCAAGGGUUGGGCUGUUCGCCCAUUAAAGCGGUACGCGAGCUGGGUUCAGAACGUCGUGAGACAGUUCGGUCCAUAUCCGGUGCACGCGCAGGAAUAUUGAGAGGAUUUCUCCCUAGUACGAGAGGACCGGGAGGAACGCACCUCUGGUGUGCCAGUUAUCGUGCCAACGGUAAACGCUGGGUAGCCAUGUGCGGAGAGGAUAACCGCUGAAAGCAUCUAAGUGGGAAGCCCACCUCAAGAUGAGUAUUCCCAUGGCAUAAGCCAGUAAGGUCACGGGAAGAUUACCCGUUGAUAGGCUCUACGUGGAAGCGCAGUAAUGUGUGAAGCGGAGGGGUACUAAUAGACCGAGGGCUUGA
rnacentral:rRNA from 1 species